UUGAUUUUAGAUUCCUAGUGGAACGACGAAUGUAUUGAUUUUACAAUGGUAAGAUCCUCCAGCCAUUAACACAGAAAUACUGUUAGAAUCUGGUGAUAAAGGUUUAUUCUUGUGGAUAUAUUACAGGACCGUAUAUACAGUUUUAUAUAAUGAUGGCACAACCGAUUUUAUAGGUACACCCUGAGGAUAUAUAGGUACAGUGAAGAUGAGCAGGGUAUGGGCCGUUUAAAUCUGCAAGGCAAGCGCGGGUUAAAAAAAUAUCUAAAAGAAAAAAAAUUAACAUGGUUACAUAAAUUUAAUAAUUUAUCCAGCAUUUUAGAAGUUGUAAGCAAUUUAUAGUUAAUAUUUUUAACCUUGACAUUUGCAUUAAUUUUCCGGUUUUGUUCAAUAUAUUUUAUUUUAUUAAAUUAUAUUAUGAUAGUAAUGUUCCUGCAGUUUUUUUCGUCCCAUUAUAAUGGGACAAUUAAUUAAUUGUAUUUAUUUUAUAUUCAUUUUAAAUUACAACAUUUGUAUUAUUAAUACUGUGUUCAAAAUGUAUUUUUUUUAUCAAUUUUAGAGUUAUAUGAAAAAUCAAUAGUUUAAUUUGACCAUUAUGAUUUAUGUAUGUACAGUAUUGUAAUUAUUUUAUCAAAGUUUGUGUUCUAGUUGCUUUAUUUUAAAAUAAUUUCUCUUAAUUGUCUAUGUGUUAUGUUGCACAAUAAUGUUUCUUUACAUUUUAAGGUAAAACAAUUUAUUUUUGUUUGAUAAUAAUAUAAUAUAAUGAGUUUCCACGUGAUUUCACUAUCCCGGGUGGUAUAUUAUAUGUUAAAAAUACCAUCCAUUACAGUGACCCACUUGUAAUUUACUGUACAGCAGAGGGACACCCACUUGCCCACCUUUUUUAUUUUGAAUUUCUUUGAAAAUUGAAAUAGCACAAUUUUUUAAUUCCCUUUUUUAACAUAACGUUUUUAGAAAUUUGGGACUUGGGAGAUAAUAUAAAAAAUGCAGGAAAGUCGAUUUCAAGAAGACUUGUAGUAUCAUUC